GGCGGCCGUAACUAUAACGGUCCUAAGGUAGCGAAAUUCCUUGUCGGGUAAGUUCCGACCCGCACGAAAGGCGCAACGAUCUGGGCACUGUCUCAACGAGAGACUCGGUGAAAUUAUAGUACCUGUGAAGAUGCAGGUUACCCGCGACAGGACGGAAAGACCCCGUGGAGCUUUACUGCAACCUGAUAUGGAAUGUUUGUACCGCUUGUACAGGAUAGGUAGGAGCCGAAGAGACGUGUGCGCUAGCAUACGAGGAGGCAAUGGUGGGAUACUACCCUGGCUGUAUGACCAUUCUAACCCGCCACGCUUAGCGCGUGGGGAGACAGUGUCAGGUGGGCAGUUUGACUGGGGCGGUCGCCUCCUAAAGAGUAACGGAGGCGCCCAAAGGUUCCCUCAGAAUGGAUGGAAAUCAUUCGCAGAGUGUAAAGGCACAAGGGAGCUUGACUGCGAGACUGACAAGUCGAGCAGGGACGAAAGUCGGGCUUAGUGAUCCGGUGGUUCCGCAUGGAAGGGCCAUCGCUCAACGGAUAAAAGCUACCCCGGGGAUAACAGGCUUAUCUCCCCCAAGAGUCCACAUCGACGGGGAGGUUUGGCACCUCGAUGUCGGCUCGUCGCAUCCUGGGGCUGUAGUCGGUCCCAAGGGUUGGGCUGUUCGCCCAUUAAAGCGGCACGCGAGCUGGGUUCAGAACGUCGUGAGACAGUUCGGUCCCUAUCCGUCGCGGGCGCAGGAAAUUUGAGAGGAGCUGUCCUUAGUACGAGAGGACCGGGAUGGACACACCGCUGGUGUACCAGUUGUUCCGCCAGGAGCAUCGCUGGGUAGCUAUGUGUGGCAGGGAUAAACGCUGAAAGCAUCUAAGCGUGAAGCCCCCCUCAAGAUGAGAUUUCCCAUUUCUUCGGAAAGUAAGAUCCCUGAAAGAUGAUCAGGUAGAUAGGUUUGGAGUGGAAGUGUAGCGAUACA
rnacentral:rRNA from 1 species